GAUGAACGCUGGCGGCGUGCCUAAUACAUGCAAGUCGAGCGAACGGACGAGAAGCUUGCUUCUCUGAUGUUAGCGGCGGACGGGUGAGUAACACGUGGAUAACCUACCUAUAAGACUGGGAUAACUUCGGGAAACCGGAGCUAAUACCGGAUAAUAUUUUGAACCGCAUGGUUCAAAAGUGAAAGACGGUCUUGCUGUCACUUAUAGAUGGAUCCGCGCUGCAUUAGCUAGUUGGUAAGGUAACGGCUUACCAAGGCAACGAUGCAUAGCCGACCUGAGAGGGUGAUCGGCCACACUGGACCUGAGACACGGUCCAGACUCCUACGGGAGGCAGCAGUAGGGACUCUUCCGCAAUGGGCGAAAGCCUGACGGAGCAACGCCGCGUGAGUGAUGAAGGUCUUCGGUUCGUAAAACUCUGUUAUUAGGGAAGAACAUAUGUGUAAGUAACUGUGCACAUCUUGACGGUACCUAAUCAGAAAGCCACGGCUAACUCCGU
rnacentral:rRNA from 1 species